CACCUUAUUUGAUUUUCUUCGGAACUGAAGAUUUGGUGAUUGAGUGGCGGACGGGUGAGUAACGCGUGGGUAACCUGCCCUGUACAGGGGGAUAACAGUCAGAAAUGACUGCUAAUACCGCAUAAGACCACAGCACCGCAUGGUGCAGGGGUAAAAACUCCGGUGGUACAGGAUGGACCCGCGUCUGAUUAGCUGGUUGGUGAGGUAGCGGCUCACCAAGGCGACGAUCAGUAGCCGGCUUGAGAGAGUGAACGGCCACAUUGGGACUGAGACACGGCCCAAACUCCUACGGGAGGCAGCAGUGGGGAAUAUUGCACAAUGGGGGAAACCCUGAUGCAGCGACGCCGCGUGANNGAAGAAGUAUCUCGGUAUGUAAAGCUCUAUCAGCAGGGAAGAAAAUGACGGUACCUGACUAAGAAGCCCCGGCUAACUACGUGCCAGCAGCCGCGGUAAUACGUAGGGGGCAAGCGUUAUCCGGAAUUACUGGGUGUAAAGGGUGCGUAGGUGGUAUGGCAAGUCAGAAGUGAAAACCCAGGGCUUAACUCUGGGACUGCUUUUGAAACUGUCAGACUGGAGUGCAGGAGAGGUAAGCGGAAUUCCUAGUGUAGCGGUGAAAUGCGUAGAUAUUAGGAGGAACAUCAGUGGCGAAGGCGGCUUACUGGACAGCAACUGACGUUGAGGCUCGAAAGCGUGGGUAGCAAACAGGAUUAGAUACCCUGGUAGUCCACGCUGUAAACGAUG
rnacentral:rRNA from 1 species